rnacentral:lncRNA from 1 species
AAAACUCAGGAGGAUUGUGCUAUGAUAAACAAGGCUAACCUGCUGAUUCUCUGAAGCAAGGAACUGGAGAUGGUCCUUCUAAGGGUUUAUAUUCUGGAUUCCAGGAAACAUGCAAACAGGACCCAUAAAUGCAUCUUUAUUUUGGUGCCCAUUUUGACCUGGUCAGGAGAAUUCCAACAAAAAAUCCACGGUGUUGGAGCAAGAUCUCAGGCUCUCAGGCUGUGGCCAUCUAGAGAUUCCAUUUUGGAUGCUCCCAUCGGGACUGUGUGUCCCUGUGCUGGAACUCGAGUGAACACUUGGCUCAAAAUCCAUUGCUGUUCUCUAGAAAUCCUGCCCUAUUCUCUUGGUGAAAUAUAAGAUUCCAUUUUGGAUGCCCUCAUUGGGACUGUGUGUCCCUGUACUGGAACUCAAGUGAACACUUGGCUCAAAAUCCAUUGCUGUUCUCUAGAAAUCCAGCCUAAUUCUCUUGG